rnacentral:rRNA from 1 species
GCUUGUCUCAAAGAUUAAGCCAUGCAUGUCUCAGUAUAAGUUCCUGUACGGCGAAACUGCGAAUGGCUCAUUAAAACAGUUAUAGUUUAUUUGAUGGUUUCUUUACUUGGAUAACCCGGGUAAUUCUCUGGCUAACAAAUGCUGAAGACCCUUUACUGGGUUGUAUUUAUUAGAUCCUUACUAACUUUGUUGGUGAGUCAUAAUAAGAUAACUGAUCGCAUCGAGGUAACUCGGCGACGGAUCAUUCAAGUUUCUGCCCUAUCAACUUUCGAUGGUACGGUAUUGGCCUACCAUGGUGACCACGGGUAACGGGGGAUUAGGGUUCGAUUCCGGAGAGGGGGCCUGAGAGAUGGCCACCACUUCUAAGGAAGGCAGCAGG